rnacentral:lncRNA from 1 species
CAGAUAUGGCUAGGAAUGAAUCUUUACUGAAACCCUGCAGAGAUACUGUUAGUUAGGGCAGACCACACAUUGCAAAAGUGCCAAGUUCUCUACUAUUUUUAGAAUGACUUCAGAGGUGGUCCUAACAUUAAAUCAUGCCAAAAUUGUUGUUGUUGUUGUUACCCAUGGGGGGGGUGAUUGCGUUAUUAUGCAUGUAUUAUACCUGAAGUCUUGAACUGCCUUGGGCUAGCGUUCGCCUGAGUGAAUAUUGCUGAAACCUCAUUGCAAUGUGGUUUUUUUCCAUCAAUCCUAUUUUGUUUUCUGCUGUUUUCUUUUUUGAAAGUUUGUUUUGCUGUCUAAUAAAAGCCAGUCCCUGCUUUGACUUGAGCUUAUUAUUUAUUACUACCCUCCACCUUUCCUUUGCAAGGGAGGUGGCAAUCUGUUCUCUUUUUCUUCCCCCCCUUUAAAAAAACCUUUCAUAAUCUUUGCUCUCUCCAUCCCCAGAUUUCAGAAAUCGGUGACUAUUAUGUAACAGAUGGUCUGACAGACCUCCGACUCUUUGACGUGAUGGCUUGCUUGGCGUAGAACAUAGCGGCAGUGGAGUAAGUAUUCAGAAAGAUAGACGCUCAUGAAUUUUAACUCUCUCAUGACAAAGGAAUUCAAGGGGGCAAGGGCUGAUCUAUCAGUUGCCGAAGUAAUUAAAAGACUUAGAUGGCUCUCUAGGACAGAGUAUCCCUUCACUGUUACAGGCUGUUUAUACUGGAUUAGCCUUGUCCAUGCCCCAUUCAUCUAUAUAUGAAUAACUAGAACAAAACAAUGGGCCAGCCUUAAUCCAGAAAUUGAUACAUUCCAACAAGCACCAGCCAGGGCUGUUCUUUUAGUUUUUAAUGAAAUGUACAGUGUGCCAUCAAGAUGGGGCAUGCCACAGCAAAAUGAGUAGCCAUUUUGAUUGCUGCUUUUGAUACUCUGGCUUAAUUGCCAUAGUUUCAGUGGUGUAAAAUCCACUUUUUCUAAUACUAAUUGGGAUGCUGAGGUUUUGCCCUUUCAGCUUUAGCAGUUUGAGAGACACAACAGCGGCAAAAGUUGGACCACUUUCUGGUGGUGAAAAUGUAAAGAAUGAAAACUUUGCAAAUGCACGAUUCACACCAGGCUCUUUCUUCUGCUUACCCUGGAUAGUCAUUCUGUCACUUGUAAGGGGUAGUAAUAUGCUUGUCUCCAGGGUUGUGGGCAAGGCAAAUGCACCUUGUCAAGGGUGAGGAACCUCAGGUCUGCAGGGUCAAAAGCUGCUCUCCAAAUGUCUUUAUCUAGCACCCUUCGCCAACACUGCUAUGCGCUGUCUUUGAGUGCUUUUUCCUGGCUGAAAUGUUCUUGUAAACUGUUGCAAUGCAUGUUGCUUGCCUGAGUGGAGGAUGAAGAUAGAUGGUUGGGUGAGGGUAUAAAUACAGCUGAUGGUUGUGUGGCUUGAAUGCACCUGACUGUACGAAGGUAAGAAUCACAUGCAUUUAACUUCUGCCUGGCCCUGCAUGUGGCCUCCGGGGGCUUGCCCACAAGGGAAUUUGACCCUCUGCCUGACAAAGGUUCCCAGCCCCAGGUAUAGGUGGCUUCCUACACACCAAAGCUUAAAGGGUCUCAGGUACCAGGGUUUGGAAGGACCUGUGCUUGAGAACGUGAAGGGCUAAUGCCAGUCAGGAUAGACUGGACAGGUCACUUUUUUGACUAAACAACUUGGUAUAAAGUGAAGUGAUCCCACUCCACUUCUUGUCUAAGGAAGGGCAUUAGUUGCCCAAGGUCCCUUGAUGCCUACCUGAAACAGCAGAGAAGGCACACGGAGACUCCAUAAUGGUUUAGAAGUGCAAGGCUUUAAUGGGUAGCCAUCUCCAAGACAAUGGGUAGUCAUCAGGGCUGCACCAGAAUACAAGUACUGAGUUGUCCGCCUUUCUUACUGGAGCAAUGCCAGUGUCACGCUGAAUCUGUCCUUGAGCCUGCAAAACCUUACUCUGAUUCUGCUACCAAUUACCCUGCCAUGCGCUUCCUGUUCAGGGCUCACCCUCUGAACCCCACCUAGGCUCAAGAAAACUAUUUUACAGGGGCAUUCUGAUAUCUAGGGCAAAUGGUGCACAGCACUGUAUAAAUGAAAAGUAAAAGUAGACUGUAAGCAGAAUUCCAGCAAGGCUCCGCUGGAUUCUUCUUAAUCAUCCUCUGUAAGGUGGAUAGGAAGUUCUUUGUAAAUUGGCACGUUUCACUGUCAGUUUUGUUUCAUCAGAGAUGGUUCUCAAAUGUUCUCUUUUCAUUUUCUGUUAUUCGAAUAUCUGUGAUUUGUGGAAAAGAAAACUAUACUUUUCUCCUUUUUGUGUCUGCUACUAGUACCUUUGUAGCUGAAUAACAGAGAGCUCCUUAAGUUUCAGCUCAAACAGAGUAUGUGCAGUCAUACCCAACACAGUGAUGCUGUGAUGGUAUUUUGGUUCAGCUGUUGGUUUUUAUUCCUUCGGAGUAAGAGAAGAGGAAAUAAAAUAAUAAUGAUUUUAGACUAAAUUUUCAAUGAUUUAAAAGACACACAAGUCCCAAACUUAUUUACCCUCUGCACAGUAAGUUGGGAAUUCUGGGUUGUAUUCAACAAGGGCAUAGUGCUUCUAGAAGGCCUUCACUCCUGCAGUGGGACUAUUCCUCCCCUGUUCCCCCAGUGCUUCCCAAAUCUGCUCUGGAUUCCACCCCCCCCCCCCAGGUCUGGAGCAGUUCUGGGGGAGUGUAAGGGUACAUUGUGUGGGCACUAGAAGUUCUGUUUUGCAAGCAGCAGUCAUUCCAUCAGUGUGAUUCCUUUGUUGGGCAGAAUGUUAAACAGAGGGGGCACCAAAUAAAUUCACUUAGUAACAACAGGGUAAGAAGCAAUUAAGAGUCAGGAUUCCAGACAUAGCCAGAAUUAACAGCAUUUCAGUCAAGAUGCCAAAAGAAACAGGGCAGAAUAAUGUGCCUGUUUCUUUCCAGAAGGCAUAGGAAGAACCAAUAUGGUUUCUGCCAUUCUUAAGAUAUCCAGUUCUCAUAGAACUAUAGGCAGCUGCCUUAUACUGAGUCAGACCACUGGUCCAUCUAGCUUAAUAAUGCCUACACUGUUUGGCAGCAGCUCUCUGGGGUUUCAGACAGGGAACAAUUCUCAGUCCCACCAGGAAAUGCCAGGGGUUGAACUUGGAACCUUCUGCAUGCAAAGCAGAUGUCCUGCCACUGAGCUACGACCCAGUUCAAGGGACAGCCUUACCACUUGGCAGAAUGAGGUGGAUGCCACAGGCAGCCAAUGCUGAAGCAGGGGCAUGGGAGUAGUGGCAAAAUGUUGGGGACAGAGCUGUGUAUGCUACUUGGCCUGCCCUGCAUCUGUAAGUGCAGUGAAGGAUACUGUCCCUGUAUUGAAGUAAGACUCAAAACUGCCAGUCAAGUCAGUUUCUGUCCACAGGGGUAGAGGAACAGCAUCUUGUCCUUCUCAGGCAGCAGAAUGUCUUAGGCCGGCUCUUUCAGGUUCUAAACUGGAUCAAGCUACUCUUGCCAACUGCUUGUUAUUAUUAUUUUUUUUAACUUUAGGACCAACACAGAAAGGAAUAAUCCAAGUAGGUUUUUUUUUUUUAAUCAUCACCAUCAUCAUGAAGGCAAACAGAGUUUGUUCAUGGGCUGCCCUAUGAUUCAGAUGUUCCAGCCUGUGGAUAAACAAAGCUGCAAAAUAAAGGUCAUUUUAAUCAGGCAUCACAUGUGAAAAUUACCUGAGGGCAAAUAAAUGCAAGUAUCAGAUUCUUAUCAGAUCCCUGGGAUAAUAAUAGCCGGGUCACUGGGGAGAGUCUGUUAGUGUUGGCCCACUGGGUCAUAUAACAAUGCAAACGCUCCCUUUGGCUUCCCACUGCUGUGACCCGUCCAUCUGCUUCUCUCUGGCCAUAUGUCAGAGAACUAUCAAAGACUACAAACAUCUGAGUUUUAUGCAUCUGAAUGUUCUUCAGUUUUCAUUGAAGCUUCAUAGAAAUGCUGCUGCUCUGAAAUUCUUCUUUCAUAAAAGGGCUUUUUGUACUUUUAAGUUGAGUGUUAACAUUCUAGUAUUGAUAUUAUUAGGAGUUGUAUUUGCAUAGUGCUGCUGUAACGGCUUGUAGCUGAGCCCAGGAAAGUUCGCCCAAUGCACCAUUAUCACUUUAUUGUGAUAAUUUUUAAGUCACAUCUUGGGGAGAGAAAACAGAUGGAAGUAUGUGUGUGUGUGUGUUUAAUAGCAGCACUAAUAUGAAGCUCAUAAUAAAAAACUAAAUGGUUUCAGUAUCAAAUAUGUCAUAAAAGAUUAAAAUGUUUUCCAACGAAACAGAAAAUGUGUGAC